UACAGAGGGUGCGAGCGUUAAUCGGAAUUACUGGGCGUAAAGCGCACGUAGGUGGCGACGUAAGUCGGGUGUGAAAGCCCCGGGCUCAACCUGGGAACCGCGCUUGAGACUGGAGAACUAGAGUUCGGGAGAGGAUGGUGGAAUUCCCAGUGUAGAGGUGAAAUUCGUAGAUAUUGGGAAGAACACCGAUGGCGAAGGCAGCCAUCUGGACCGACACUGACGCUGAGGCGCGAAAGCGUGGGGAGCAAACAGG
rnacentral:rRNA from 1 species